rnacentral:rRNA from 1 species
UGCCAGCCGCCGCGGUAAUACGAAGGGGGCGAGCGUUGUUCGGAAUUACUGGGCGUAAAGGGCGCGUAGGCGGUCUUUUAAGUUAGGCGUGAAAUCCCCGGGCUCAACCCGGGAACUGCGCUUAAGACUGGAAGACUAGAAAGCGGAAGAGGGUAGUGGAAUUCCCAGUGUAGAGGUGAAAUUCGUAGAUAUUGGGAAGAACACCAGUGGCGAAAGCGGCUACCUGGCCUUCAACUGACGCUGAGGCGCGAAAGCGUGGGGAGCAAACAGGAUUAGAUA